rnacentral:rRNA from 1 species
ACGAACGCUGGCGGCGUGCCUAAUACAUGCAAGUCGAACGGUCUUUCUAUGGAAGCUUGCUUCCACUGAGAAGAUAGUGGCGAACGGGUGAGUAACACGUGGGUAACCUGCCCAUAAGAGGGGGAUAACAUCCGGAAACGGGUGCUAAUACCGCAUAGUUUUCCUGAUCGCAUGAUCGGGAAAGGAAAGACGGCCUUUGUGCUGUCGCUUAUGGAUGGACCCGCGGCGUAUUAGUUAGUUGGUGAGGUAACGGCUCACCAAGACGAUGAUACGUAGCCGACCUGAGAGGGUGAUCGGCCACAUUGGGACUGAGACACGGCCCAAACUCCUACGGGAGGCAGCAGUAGGGAAUCUUCCGCAAUGGACGAAAGUCUGACGGAGCAACGCCGCGUGAGUGAAGAAGGUUUUCGGAUCGUAAAACUCUGUUGUCAGAGAAGAACAAGUUGGAGAGUGACUGCUCCAGCCUUGACGGUAUCUGACCAGAAAGCCACGGCUAACUACGUGCCAGCAGCUGC